rnacentral:lncRNA from 1 species
GAGAGAGCUCGCCUGCCACACAGAAGGCCCGAGCUCGACCGCGGCUACGCAAGUCGCUGUGGAGACGGGACGUCGCGGGUCGCCCAAGCCAGACACCACGAGGGUGCAGGCCUCCUCCCAUCAUGAACUCGACCAGGAUACAUUCAGGAACCACAUCACAAUCCUUGUUAACUUCCUGAAGUCCAAGCACUACCCCGAUCCUUGGCAGGUUGAUUCAUCAAUGUUUGUGCUGUCCCUUCAAAGAUGGAAGCUAAACUGGGUGUCCUCUCUGCUGGCAUUAGUUGAUGGACAUUAAAGAUCCCAUGAUGUCCUCUGUGAAGAGUCGGCCAGCACAUGAGAGAGAACAACGCGACGGGACUCGAUGGUUCAACAGUCACGGUACAUGAGGUGAACAUGAGUGAGUUGAGCCGGCAGGACUGGGACAGUGGGUGGCGGAAACAACUCAAUGCGGCAAUCGUUGAACAUUCGAUGCAAUGGUGAACUUCCUCAUUUGACUUUG